rnacentral:lncRNA from 1 species
GGCAGCCGACUCGAGGUCGGGCUGUGGAGCCGAAGAUGUCCGACUCGGGGUCGGAUUGCUGGAUCAAAGGACAGCCGUAGUCUUCAUGGGCGCGCGUGCCGGUCACGUGGAGCAUGGCGGCUUAGUUCCCCCGUAACAGAUAUAUUUAUAUAUAAUAAUCCAAUUAAAAUAUGUAUGUAUGAUGCAAGAUCAGUAAACAAUAUAUUUUUUUUGGUAAGUUGAAAACAUCAUACCCUUCUAGCAUGAAUACAUGCAAGAAAAUAAUAAAAAAAAGGUAACGAAAAGGGGUAGAGUAGACUUGUAGCUCGCACAGAUUCAAUUGUCGGAGUGCUGCGCAACAAAUGAAGCAAUCCAGUCAGUUGCGGUGUUCGCCUCACAGUAAGCAUGGGUAACUUAAAAGGCCACAUAAUUCCUUAAGAGAUCUCUGAUAUCCUGUAGCAGCAGGUGCUCAUCCCGUGCUCUUACGUUGCUUUGAAUCCACCUAAUCACAAUAGUUGAGUCACCUUUCAAAUGGAUGUGCUCAGCCCCCAGUCUGACCCGUGCAUAAAUAAUCCCUUCCUAAACAGCUUUAAGCUCAUCUCCAGGAACAAAGAUAUCAUAAAGUUGGCUCCCCUCUGCUGCGAUCAAUAGUCUGAAAAAUAUUACUUCAAAUUACAUAUCUAUUUUUCAUUUAAAUCGCCAUCUCGUAAAAUUCAUAAAUCACAUAUAAAUUGAUUAACAAUUACUUUGAUGUAAGAAUAAUAUUAUAUAAAUAAAAAAUUUAGAAAACGAAGAUCGUUACUUUCUUGUACGAACAACAAGCAAACAAUCCAACUAAUUCUGAGAUCCUCCUUUAAAACCUAAUAUCCAAAAUUGCAUUAUUAUUUUAUUAAAAUUUAAUCAUGAUUAAUUUAAGAAUAAAAAUUCUACAUCCCGAUACCUUCAUAGGGCUGACUAAGC